GACGAACGCUGGCGGCGUGCUUAACACAUGCAAGUCGAACGGAAAGGCCCUGCUUUUGUGGGGUGCUCGAGUGGCGAACGGGUGAGUAACACGUGAGUAACCUGCCCUUGACUUUGGGAUAACUUCAGGAAACUGGGGCUAAUACCGGAUAGGAGCUCCUGCUGCAUGGUGGGGGUUGGAAAGUUUCGGCGGUUGGGGAUGGACUCGCGGCUUAUCAGCUUGUUGGUGGGGUAGUGGCUUACCAAGGCUUUGACGGGUAGCCGGCCUGGGAGGGUGACCGGCCACAUGGGGACUGAGAUACGGCCCAGACUCCUACGGGAGGCAACAGUGGGGAAUAUUGCACAAUGGGCGGAAGCCUGAUGCAGCAACGCCGCGUGCGGGAUGACGGCCUUCGGGUUGUAAACCGCUUUCGCCUGUGACGAAGCGUGAGUGACGGUAAUGGGUAAAGAAGCACCGGCUAACUACGUG
rnacentral:rRNA from 1 species